UAACAAGUUGAUAUUCCUGUACCGUACUUAAGCGUUUGACUGAAGCAGUGACACAGAAGGAUAGACAGACCGGGGGAAUGGUAGACUCCGGCCAAGCAGUGAGGCUGACAUGUAGUGAAGUACGCAUGUUAAGGCUGGGCUGUGAUGGGGACUGAAGAUUAGUAGGGAAGCUGUUGAAUUCACACUGGCGAGAAAAGCUGCUAAGGAGCGAGAGUAUGCCCGUACCGCAAACCGACACAGGUAGGCGAGGAGAGAAUCCUAAGACGAGCGGGAGAACCCUUGUUAAGGAACUCGGCAAAAUGACUCCGUAACUUAGGGAGAAGGAGUGCCUCGAGAGAGGCCGCAGAGAAUAGGCCCAAGCGACUGUUUACCAAAAACACAGGUCUGUGCGAAGUAGAGAUACGACGUAUACGGGCUGACGCCUGCCCAGUGCCGGAAGGUUAAGGGGAAGUGUUAGGGCAACCGAAGCACGGAACUUAAGCCCCGGUGAACGGCGGCCGUAACAAUAACGGUCCUAAGGUAGCGAAAUUCCUUGUCGGGUAAGUUCCGACCCGCACGAAUGGCGUAACGACUUGGGCACUGUCUCAACAAGGGACCCGGCGAAAUUGUAGUAUGUGUGAAGAUGCACAUUACCCGCGAUAGGACGGAAAGACCCCGUAGAGCUUUACUGUAGUUUAACAUUGGAUUUUGAUAACACAUGUACAGGAUAGGUGGGAGGCUGAGAAACCGGCACGCCAGUGCCGAUGGAGCCGCUGUUGGGAUACCACUCUUGUGUUAUUGGAGUUCUAACGAAGUGCCGUAAACCGGGCUUCGGACAGUGUUAGAUGGGCAGUUUGACUGGGGCGGUCGCCUCCGAAAGAGUAACGGAGGCGUCCAAAGGUUCCCUCAGAAUGGUUGGAAACCAUUCACAGAGUGCAAAGGCAGAAGGGAGCUUGACUGCGAGACCGACAGGUCGAGCAGGUACGAAAGUAGGGCUUAGUGAUCCGGCGGUAUGAGAGUGGAAUUGCCGUCGCUCAACGGAUAAAAGCUACCUCGGGAUAACAGGCUGAUCUCCCCCAAGAGUUCACAUCGACGGGGAGGUUUGGCACCUCGAUGUCGGCUCGUCGCAUCCUGGGGCUGGAGCAGGUCCCAAGGGUUUGGCUGUUCGCCAAUUAGAGCGGCACGCGAGCUGGGUUCAGAACGUCGUGAGACAGUUCGGUCCCUAUCCAUCGUGGGCGCAGGAGAUUUGAGAGGAGCUGUCCUUAGUACGAGAGGACCGGGAUGGACGCACCAAGGGUGAAUCAGUUGUCGUGCCAACGGCACAGCUGGGUAGCCAAGUGCGGAUCGGAUAAACGCUGAAGGCAUCCAAGCGUGAAGCCGACCUCAAGAUAAGAUCUCCCAUCCGAAAGGAGUAAGACCCCAUGAAGACCACAUGGUUGAUAGGCCGGAGGUGGAAGUGCAGUAAUGUACGGAGCUGACCGGUACUAAUAGGUCGAGGGCUUGAUCAU
rnacentral:rRNA from 1 species